UCAUAAGCAUUAAAAAAAAAUUUUAAUAUUUCGCUCAUUUGUUAUAACAACACAACUUUUGCUGGGUUCAGAUUUUCAUCCGAGUAUCACCCAAGUAUUAUUCCAUCCUUGUGGUUUAUUGAACGUUAAACAAGGAUGAUCGACAUCCAAGGAGCACCUGGCGCUAGCAAUAUCGAAAUAUCUAAGCCAAAUCAUCUAAUAAAAACUGAUGGCUUAUCGAUUUUGAAUGUCGACUGUAAGUAAAAAACAUAUUUUAUAACAUUCAAUUCCAAACAUGAUCGAUCCACACUGUCCAUACUGUCGUCAAAGAUUAUCGCUGAACGUUCAGCGAUUAUCUUUUCAAUGUAUACUUGCGAUAGAAAUCUCUCGCAGACAUAACACUGUAGAGAAAUAGUAUGAAAUACUAUAUUCUUAAAUUGAAUAAAAUAUUGUGAAUUCUUUUGAUAAAAACUAUUUUAUCCUUUCCAAGAGCUUGUUAUCGAUCUCCGCGUGACCCAACAUACGAGUGCGUCUGUGCGUGUAGAAAGGGAAAGCGAAGCGCGACGUCACGCCGUAUUGCAUAGGGUGAUACGACUGACGCUACGAUAUUCAAACUUAUAUUUAUUAUAUUUAUGAAAAACAUUGUCUUUUGCAUUGUGUUGUUAUAGCAAAUGAAUGAUCUUCUUUGCUUAUUUCUUGAUCAAUUUUCAUUUUCUUUAGUUUUACUUUCAAUUCUAAGAUUUC